GUGGGGAAUUUUGCGCAAUGGGGGAAACCCUGACGCAGCAACGCCGCGUGAGUGAUGAAGGCCUUCGGGUCGUAAAGCUCUGUCAAGAGGGAAGAAGUGUAGUGCGGUUAAUACCCGUGCUAUUUGACGGUACCUCUGAAGGAAGCACCGGCUAACUCCGUGCCAGCAGCCGCGGUAAUACGGGGGGUGCAAGCGUUGUUCGGAUUUAUUGGGCGUAAAGCGCGUGUAGGCGGUUUCUUUAGUCUGAUGUGAAAGCCCCGGGCUCAACCUGGGAAGUGCAUUGGAUACUGGGAGACUUGAGUACGGGAGAGGGUAGUGGAAUUCCGAGUGUAGGAGUGAAAUCCGUAGAUAUUCGGAGGAACACCGGUGGCGAAGGCGGCUACCUGGACCGAUACUGACGCUGAGACGCGAAAGCGUGGGGAGCAAACAGGAUUAGAAACCCUAGUAGUCC
rnacentral:rRNA from 1 species